CAGUAGCCGCGGUAAUACAGAGGGUGCGAGCGUUAAUUGGAUUUACUGGGCGUAAAGCGUGCGUAGGCGGCUAAUUGAGUCGGAUGUGAAAUCCCCGAGCUUAACUUGGGAAUUGCAUUCGAUACUGGUUAGCUAGAGUGUGGGAGAGGAUGGUAGAAUUCCAGGUGUAGCGGUGAAAUGCGUAGAGAUCUGGAGGAAUACCGAUGGCGAAGGCAGCCAUCUGGCCUAACACUGACGCUGAGGUACGAAAGCAUGGGGAGCAAACAGGAUUAGAUACCCCGGUAGUCCCUGUCUCUUAUAC
rnacentral:rRNA from 1 species